rnacentral:rRNA from 1 species
UACGAAGGGUGCAAACGUUGCUCGGAAUUAUUGGGCGUAAAGCGCACGUAGGCGGCAUUGCAAGUCGGAUGUGAAAUCUUAUGGCUUAACCAUAAAAGUGCAUCCGAAACUGCAGUGCUUGAGUACUUAAGAGGAUCGCGGAAUUCCCGGUGUAGAGGUGAAAUUCGUAGAUAUUCGGAGGAACACCAGUGGCGAAGGCGGCUCACUGGUCCAUUACUGACGCUGAGGUGCGAAAGCGUGGGGAGCGAACAGG